GAGAGACAGAGAGAGUGAGAUGGGGGUAUCGGGAAUGGAGGCGUUAUUUUGAUCCGAAGAGCGAUGGGGCAAAAGGGUGAGGAGUGCUGCCUCCGUUUGCUUCAGAGGUAUUCUUCUCAUUCGCAGCACAGGUUUCUCUCUCUCUCUCUUUAAAAUUUGUUUCUUUGCUUUGAUCAAACUCAAUUACUUUUCUCUAUUAAUUCAUUCUCUUUUGGAAUUGGGAAAAACCAAAACAAACAAAAAAAGGACUGGGCAUCACUGCUUUUCCUAUUUUUUUUUCCCCUUUUAUCAUUUCAUUCACAACAAAUCCAUUGUGGAUUGUUAAGACCAGACUCCAGAUUAUAGUUCUCAUCCCCUUACUGGCCUCUGCAUCACCACACUACCACCGGUCCACCCCCCAACAGCCAGACCCGCCCUCCUCCGAUGAGUUCAAUGGUGAUAGGAGCUAGAGACGCCCUUACAAUAAUUAAGCCUUAUGAAUCUAUGGCUGUGAUCUCAUCCAAGAAAGUGGCAUCUUGCUUAAACUACCUGAAGCUGUGCCGACCGAGCAGGUUCUAUAACAUCGUUUCUAUUGCAAGAAAUCGUUUGCCCGCUUCAAUUUUAAGAAAGUUGCUGCAAGCUGCUUGUGGCUUGCAUCAAAGCUCAAGGAAAGCCCAAGGAAAGCAAUCUAAAUCCUUACUUUUUUCCACAGGAUAGAAUGUACGAUGGAGAACUUACCGAUAGAGCAUUUGGAGAUUGGUUCACAGAAAUAUCAUGACCUCAAGACUGACUUGAGCAGAACAGAAAGACAUAUAUUGAAAGAGAUGGGAUUUGUUUGUCAUGUUGAACAUCCUCGUAAAUUCAUAUCUAACUACCUUGCCAUUCUCGAAACACCUCCAGAACUGAGGCAGGAAGCUUGGAAUCUAGCAAAUGAUAGUUGAUCCAAAUGGUAGAAGCAUGGAAAAGCUAAGAACCAUGGAGGAUGGAACCGAUAGAACCAAACCCUGGCAGUUGUCUGAAAUUGUGGAUGCUGUCCAGUGCCGAUUAUUUGCCAUGCCUGAAGGCACAGAUUCUUCCAGCAAGGUUGUUCAACUUCUAUAUGCAAAUUCUGGCAUUGGGGUUUUGGCACUUAGAUCAAAUGGUGUUCAGAAGCUGUGGAAAUGGGCACGGAACGAAAG